GAAACCCUGAUGCAGCGACGCCGCGUGAGCGAUGAAGGCUUUCGAGUCGUAAAGCUCUGUCCUAAGGGAAGAAUAAUGACGGUACCUUAGGAGGAAGCCCCGGCUAACUACGUGCCAGCAGCCGCGGUAAUACGUAGGGGGCAAGCGUUGUCCGGAAUUACUGGGCGUAAAGAGUUCGUAGGCGGCCCUGCAAGUCAGAGGUUAAAGGCAUUGGCUCAACCAAUGUAAGCCUUUGAAACUGUAGGGCUUGAGUGCAGGAGAGGAGAGCGGAAUUCCUAGUGUAGCGGUGAAAUGCGUAGAUAUUAGGAGGAACACCAGUGGCGAAGGCGGCUCUCUGGACUGCAACUGACGCUGAGGAACGAAAGCGUGGGUAGCGAACAGGAUUAGAUACCCUGGUAGUCC
rnacentral:rRNA from 1 species